AUUGAACGCUGGAGGCAGGCUUAAAACAUGCUAGUCGAGCGAGCGGCGGGCGGGUGUGUAAUGUCUGGGAAACUGCCUGGUGGAGGGGGAUAACUACUGGAAACGGUAGCGUAUACCGCAUAACAUCAGUUGUGCCCAGAUGGGAUUAGCUAGUCGGUGGGGUAGUGGGUCACCUGGGCGACGGUCCCUAGCUGGUCUGAGAGGAUGACCAGCCAGACAUGGACGGAGACACUGUCCAGACUCCUACGGGAGGCAGCGGGGGGGAAUAUUGCACAAUGGGCACAAGCCUGCUGCAUCCAUGCCGCUUGUGUGAAGAAGGCCUUCUGGUUGUAAAGCACUUUCAGCGAGGCGGCGUUACUCGCAUAAGAAACACCAGCUAACGCCGUGCCAGCAGCCGCGGUAAUAC
rnacentral:rRNA from 1 species